rnacentral:rRNA from 1 species
UACGUAGUUAGCCGUGGCUUAUUCAAGAGGUACCGUCUUCUGCUCUUCCCUCUUAAAGAAGUUUACAACCCGAAAGCCUUCUUCCUUCACGCGGCGUUGCUGGGUCAGGCUUGCGCCCAUUGCCCAAUAUUCCCCACUGCUGCCUCCCGUAGGAGUCUGGGCCGUAUCUCAGUCCCAAUGUGGCCGGUCAACCUCUCAGUCCGGCUACUGAUCGUCGCCUAGGUGGGCCGUUACCCCGCCUACUAGCUAAUCAGACGCGAGGCCAUCUUCCAGCGAUAAAUCUUUGACAUUCAAACCAUGCGAUUCAAAUGUGUCAUGCGGUAUUAGCAGUCGUUUCCAACUGUUGUCCCCCUCUGGAAGGCAGGUUCCUCACGCGUUACUCACCAGUCCGCCACUAAGCAUUCCUCUCCAUUGUCCGAAAACUCUUUCAAGGGUGCUCCGUUCGACUUGCAUGUGUUAAGCACGCCGCCAGCGUUCGUCCUGAGCCAGGAUCAAACUCU